rnacentral:rRNA from 1 species
UGGGGAAUAUUGGACAAUGGGGGCAACCCUGAUCCAGCAAUGCCGCGUGUGUGAAGAAGGCCUGAGGGUUGUAAAGCACUUUCAGUGGGGAGGAGGAUUUGAAGGUUAAGAGCCAUUAAAUUGGACGUUACCCACAGAAGAAGCACCGGCUAACUCCGUGCCAGCAGCCGCGGUAAUACGGAGGGUGCGAGCGUUAAUCGGAAUUACUGGGCGUAAAGCGUGCGCAGGCGGUUUUGUAAGUCAGAUGUGAAAUCCCCGAGCUCAACUUGGGAACUGCGUUUGAAACUACAAGGCUAGAGUAUGGUAGAGGGGGGUGGAAUUCCACGUGUAGCAGUGAAAUGCGUAGAUAUGUGGAGGAACACCGAUGGCGAAGGCAGCCCCCUGGGCUAACACUGACGCUCAUGCACGAAAGCGUGGGGAGCAAACAGG